ensembl:lncRNA
UGCAUUAUUAUUGUUAAUGCUUAUUUUCUCAUGGUUAUCUGUUGCUUUACUGUUAUAUCCUAUAAGUUUACUAUUGUAAUGCCAAUGAUAAACACACCUUAAAUAUGUAUUUUAAAAUAUUUUAAUAUAUUUAUACAUAUUUUAUUGAAGUAUAGUUGAGUUACGAAAUUGUGUUAGUUUUAGGUGUACAGCAUAGUGAUUCAGUAUUUUUUGCAGAUUAUACUCCACUAAAGGUUAUUGCAAGAUAGUGGAUAUAAUUCUGUGUGCUAUACAUUAUGUCUCUGUUGCUUAUUUAUUUUAUAUAAAGUGGCUUAUAUCUGUUAAUCCCAUACCCCUAAUUUGUCCCCCUCACCUUUGAUAAGCACAAGUUUCUUUUCUCUAUCUGCGAAUCUGUUCUGUUUUGCAUAUAAUUCAUUUGUAUUAUUUUUGAUUCCACAUGUGAGUGACAUCAUUCAGUAUUUGUCUUUCUUUGCCUUAUUUCACUAAGCAUAAUAUACUUUAGGUCCAUUCAUGUUGCUGCAAAUGGCAUUAUUUCACUCUUUUUAUGCCUAAGUAAUAUUCCGUUGUAUAUCCAUGUCUUCUUAAUCCAGUCGUCCCUUGAUAGGCACUUGGGUUGCUUCCAUGUCUUGGCUGUUGUAAGUGAAUGCAUCUUUUUUGAUUAGUGAUUUGGUUGUUCCUGGAUAUGUGCCCAGGAUGGAGUUGCUAGAUCAUAUGGUAGUUCCAUUUUUAGUUUUCUGAGGCCCCUCCAUACUGUUUUCCAAAGUGGCUGCACCAGUUUACAUUUCCAGCCAAUGGUGCACGACUUAGAUGAAGACUUAUAUCGUAAUUUAUAAAGAUUUGCUCUCACUGAAUCCCAUUGAUUCUUUCCUCCCUUUCUAAUUCUUCCAUCCAAUCUGAUUUUUCAUCUUUGAUUUUCUAAAAAAAAUAUUUCUCAACAAUCAUUAAAUUAUAAAUGGGAAAUGUCUCUCUAAUUGAGCCACAGGCUUCCACUUCCUAUUUGUACCUUGUCUGUGCCAAUGAAGGGCUUGAGUAUUUUAGUGGGAGGAAAAUCACCUCCUUCUAGGAUGAUCCAUUACAUAUUGGACAACACUGGCUGUUAGGAGAUUCCUUCAAAUAAUGACUGACAGCUGUUCCCUCCUGUUUCUCCCCACACAGGGUGCGUGUCUGUUCACAGCAGUUCAGCUGGUGGGUGGGGAAGAGGUGAGCCCUGUCUAUUGGAAUAAAAUCAACAGCGGGAAAGUGACGCAACAGAGGAGAACUUAUGAGGGUCACCCCACUUCUGCUUUCCUAACACCUGCUUUUACACCCCCAUUCAGCCCUACCAUGGUCUUGAUGAAAAAUCUGUCAAGUUUUAGGACUACUUCACAUGCAUGUAAAGAACCAUGGCCAUGAUACUGUGCAUGGUUAUAGUACUUUUUAGCUCACAAAUUCAGUGAGUAUUAUGAAAUUGAUUUCUCUAGAGCCUCUAAGGUCUUGAGAUAAAUGAGCUCAUAGACACUCUCUGUAUUCUUAUUAAUUUCCUCUUUGCAGCUGAAAAAAGAAACAAUCACAUAGCUUCUGACACCUUUAUGAGAAGUACAUUAAGAUCAGAUUCAGUCUAGACAGAAUCGAAUUUUGGUUUAACCUGAAACUUGUUUUCCUAGAGGUUUUUAAUGCCUCAAUUCCUUAGUGCUAAAUGGAUGUGUCCUCAGCGUUUAUCAAAUAAACAUAACUUUGCUUUUCUGUCAUACUCCCCUCACCAUUUUGCGUUUUGAAUAAGCCCCCCUUGAUUUAACUCCUGAAAACUCAUUUGAAUCCCCCCCCCCAUUCUCUCUGAUAUUCCGCCUUUGUUGAAACUCUCAUUACUAGACUUUUGGAAUUUUGUUGAAGGUUGGAGAUGAGAAACCCCACUUGAUUGUCUCAUAUGUGAAGAUUCAGAUACUUAACUUUAAGCAUUGAUGUUAAUAAACAGUGAAAAUUGUGUUCACUUUAAAGAAAAAAAAUGUAGUUCUCUUUAAAUGACCCUGAACUUAUGUAAGCUGUCAUUGAGGUGCCAGAAGUUGCUCUCUUCUUUCUUUCUCUGUCUGAAUAUAAAAGUAAUGAUAUUUAUUAAUAAAUAUGAGCUCAUUUCUCUAGAGGGCACUGUGAGCUGGGGACAUUUCUCAGACCUGUCGUAGUUUCUUACUUUUUGGCUCUAUUUUCCCCAAGUCUAGUCUCUUUUUCUGUUUUACUCCCUUUUGUGCUGUCUGCCACUGUCAUGGCCACAUGACUUUGAAUAAUCUUCUAGCUUUCUUUUCCUGCUUUCUGUCUUUCAUUCUUUUCCUACUUUUGUAAUUUUAUCUUAUUAUAAUCUACUUUUCUGUUCUUUAAAAGAAGGAGUGAUAGAUGGUAACUAGACUUAACCGUGAUGAUGACUUUGUAAUAUAUACAAAUAUCCCAUUAUAAUGAUGUACACCUGAACUUUAUAUAUUCAAGUUAUAUAUUGAAAAUACUGAAAGUUUUAUAAUUGGUUUUAUAAACCACUUUUAACUUUAAAAAGCCAAAUGCAGCCUCCUGAUCUCUUAGAACAUGAGAUUACGGAGCAUGGACUAACCUCCCAUGGUUUCAGCCACUAUCUUUUGUUCUGUGAGCAUGGAAUAUAGGAAAAGAGGGGAAGGAUGCUGUACCAAUAUUUACCUCAGUGUAUACCAUAUUGGUACAAAGGAAUUAGUAAUGAGAGUGGUGGUUGGGAGUCAUAGAUUUGUAGAAAGAAUAGAAAGAAAAAUUUCCUGAUAGGAUAGUAAAUAUACAUCCCUAAUGCAUCAUUGUCUGUUUUUUAAAAUAAUCUCCUUUGGUCUGUACCAUGGAUAGUUUUGAACGUUAUAGAUUCAUGUGGACCCUUCAUUAUAUGGAGUUGUAUUCUACAAGUUUGUUCAUAAAUGACUUACUUGGGACUGUAUAUAUUUAAAACAUUGUUACCAAUGCUUAGGGUCCUAGGUUAGCCCCCCAAACACCAGUCAAACCGUUACAAUGAAUCUAAACUAUAAUUUUAAUAAUUUCAGUGUUUGUAACCGGCACUUAUAAAAUUAUCUCAGAAAAAAAAAUUCUCUGGAUUUUAUCUUAGGAUGCUAGGACACUUGGCUGGGAUUCUGAUAGUGAAUGAGUUGGAAUGGGCUGUAACAGUGGGUCCCCUAAAAAUCAGGGGCAUAU